AAUAAAAUGGCUGAAUAUAGGCGGUAAAUUGUAAAUUUAUUUAUGAAAAUUAUUUUUCUUUUAUUA
rnacentral:tRNA from 1 species